UGGUGGAGCAUGUGGUUUAAUUCGAAGCAACGCGAAGAACCUUACCAGGUCUUGACAUCCUUUGACCACUCGAGAGAUCGAGCUUUCCCUUCGGGGACAAAGUGACAGGUGGUGCAUGGUUGUCGUCAGCUCGUGUCGUGAGAUGUUGGGUUAAGUCCCGCAACGAGCGCAACCCUUAUUACUAGUUGCCAGCAUUCAGUUGGGCACUCUAGUGAGACUGCCGGUGACAAACCGGAGGAAGGUGGGGAUGACGUCAAAUCAUCAUGCCCCUUAUGACCUGGGCUACACACGUGCUACAAUGGAUGGUACAACGAGUCGCGAAGUCGUGAGGCCAAGCUAAUCUCUUAAAGCCAUUCUCAGUUCGGAUUGUAGGCUGCAACUCGCCUACANGAAGCCNGAANCGC
rnacentral:rRNA from 2 species